rnacentral:tRNA from 1 species
GUGGGUAUAGCUCAGUGGUAGAGUACACGCUUGCCAUGCACUAGGUCCUGGGUUCAAUCCCUGGUACCUCUG